rnacentral:rRNA from 1 species
AGGACGAACGCUGGCGGCGUGCUUAACACAUGCAAGUCGAGCGGAAAGGCCCUUCGGGGUACUCGAGCGGCGAACGGGUGAGUAACACGUGAGUAAUCUGCCCCUAGCUCUGGGAUAGCUCCGGGAAAACCGGGAUUAAUACCGGAUAUGACCACUUUAGACAUCUGUUGUGGUGGAAAGAAUUUCGGCUAGGGAUGAGCUCGCGGCCUAUCAGCUUGUUGGUGGGGUAACGGCCUACCAAGGCGACGACGGGUA